rnacentral:rRNA from 1 species
UAAUACGGAGGGUGCAAGCGUUGUCCGGAUUUAUUGGGUUUAAAGGGUGCGUAGGCGGUCUGAUAAGUCAGUGGUGAAAGUCUUCGGCUCAACCGGAGGAUUGCCAUUGAAACUGUCAGACUUGAGUACAGUAGAGGUAGGCGGAAUUUAUGGUGUAGCGGUGAAAUGCAUAGAUACCAUAAAGAACACCGAUAGCGAAGGCAGCUUACUAUGCUGGUACAGACGCUGAGGCACGAAAGCGUGGGGAGCGAACAGGAUUAGAUACCCUGGUAGUCCACGCCGUAAACGAUGCUCACUCGAUGUUGGCGAUACACAGUCAGCGUCCAAGCGAAAGCGUUAAGUGAGCCACCUGGGGAGUACGCUGGCAACAGUG